rnacentral:lncRNA from 1 species
GCUGAUUUUCGGUUGAACUCUUCAAGAUGCUAUAGAAUUGAAGUUAUCAAUGACCAACCACCCUCAAAUAGAUGGGUAAAUAGAGAGGGUUAACGUAAUACUAGAAGAAUAUUUGAGGCAUUAUGUUACUGCAAGCAAAAUUGGUUAGAGCUACUAAAGACAACUCAAUUGUGCUACAAUUUACACAAGCGUACUUCAACAAGACUA